rnacentral:RNase_P_RNA from 1 species
AGAUGGUUGGGCAAUCGCUGACCCUUUUGGGUUGGAGGAAAGUCCGGGCUUCCCAAGGACACAGUACCGGAUAACGUCCGGGCGGGGUGACCCGAUGGAAAGCGUCACAGAAAAUAAUCUGCCUUUGCAGGUUCGCCUGCAUUGGUGAGGGUGAAAAGGUGAGGUAAGAGCUCACCGCACGGGCUGAGAGGUUUCGUGGCACGACAAACCCUAUUGGAAGCAAGACCAAACGAAGACAGACGGCGACCGACAGGUUGAUUUUGUAUAAACGGGUGUCCUUGUCCGGCUGUCGUGAGGUAGGUUGCUUGAGCUUAUCAGUAAUGGUAAUGCCAGACGAAUGAUUGCCAACUACAGAACCCGGCUUACAGACCAUCUG